rnacentral:rRNA from 1 species
AGUGAACGCUGGCGGUAGGCCUAACACAUGCCAGUCGAACGGCAGCACAGUAAUAGCUUGCUCUUACGGGUGGCGAGUGGCGGACGGGUGAGGAAUACAUCGGAAUCUACUUUUUCGUGGGGGAUAACGUAGGGAAACUUACGCUAAUACCGCAUACGACCUACGGGUGAAAGCAGGGGAUCUUCUGACCUUGCGCGAUUGAAUGAGCCGAUGUCGGAUUAGAUAGUUGGCGGGGUAAAGGCCCACCAAGGCGACGAUCCGUAGCUGGUCUGAGAGGAUGAUCAGCAAAACGGGAACUGAGAAACGGGACAGACUCCUACGGGAGGAAGCAGUGGGGAAUAUUGGACAAUGGGCGAAAGCAUGAUCCAGCAAUACCGCGUGGGUGAAGAAGGCCUUCGGGUUGUAAAGCCCUUUUGUUGGGAAAGAAAAGCAGCAGGUUAAUACCCCGCUGUUCUGACGGUACCCAAAGAAUAAGCACCGGCUAACUUCGUG